CCGAGAAAAAGAGAGAGAUUGCGCGGAAAGUACGAAGGUUUGAGAAAGGUGUUUGAAAGUCACUCAACAAAAUAU